rnacentral:lncRNA from 1 species
GCUGAUUCCACACUGAUUCCAGUCAGCAGCUCAAACUCUGAGAAGAAAUCAAGUCAAACUACAGCAGCUUCUACAAAACAAGAGACACAGACUCCUCAAACCCCCGAGACAACAGCUACACAGAGAGUCUCUCCAUCAGUGAUCGUGAUUGUUGUUGCUGUUGUGUUGGCUGUUCUGGUUACUGCUGUUAUUCUUUGGGUGGUUCGCAAAAAAAGAGCUGAUAACAGAAAAGGGACUAAUGACUUUGUGGAGCGGAAAGAUGAUGCAACUUAUACUGAGAUUGACACAAACUGGAAAAUCGGAGCCAAAAAUAACAAGGUUCAUGACUAUGAAGUGGUUUAUUCUUUUAUCACACGAGCAACAGUUGAACCUCAGGAUGACUGCUUUUGUGAACAAGAACCAUCAGAAAUAAGUUAAACAGUCAUUAAUUAUACAAAGACCUCCUAAUAUCAAUCACAGAGAAAUAUGAACCUUAUAUUAUUGACUCCUAAAGGUUUCAUUCAGUCCCAUUGUAAAUACUGUCUCACAUUUUAACACACAUUCCCAAGUGGUGAUCUGAUUGAAAUGUUUUGGUCAAUUUGGGAUGUUUAUUUCAAAUUAACUGUCUGCUUGCUGAAUUAAUGCUAGUGCAUUUAUUAAUAAUUCUGGAUUGUGCAUCAACCUCUGUGCUUGUACAAAUAAAAUAAAAUACAUUUUCUCUCUUAGAUCAUUCUCAU